AUUGAACGCUGGCGGCAGGCCUAACACAUGCAAGUCGAGCGGAGCGGCGGACGGGUGAGUAAUGCCUAGGAAUCUGCCUGGUAGUGGGGGAUAACGUCCGGAAACGGGCGCUAAUCCCGCAUACUUUCGGGUUAGCCUAGGUGGUAUUGGCUAGUUGGUGGGGUAAGGGCCUACAAAGACGAAGAUCCGUAACUGGUCUGAGAGGAUGAUGAGUCACACUGGAACUGAGACACGGUCCAGACUCCUACGUGAGGCAGCAGUGGGGAAUAUUGGAGAAUGGACGAAAGCCUGUUCCAGCCAUGCCGCGUGUGUGAAGAAGGUCUUCGGAUUGUAAAGCACUUUUAGUUGGGAGGCGUUACCAACAGAAUAAGCACCGGCUAAAUACGUGCCAGCAGCCGCGGUAAUUC
rnacentral:rRNA from 1 species